CCUGGCGCAUGCUCUGAACUGGGGAGCUCAGCUGUAUUUGGAAACCCAAGAAGGCCAGGCGACCACAGUUGCAGUUGGUCCUGGGGCUUUGUGACAUCCAGGGGUGCUAUGCAGGACCCAUCAUCCAAGAAAACGUACCUCCUGCCCAUGAGAAGCUUGUGAUCAAGAGAGAGAAUAGACGACACGAAUGGUGUCCUGAGCAGUUUUACCAUCGGCAGGCUUUUGUCUUCCACCUCAUUUGCCCCUUGCACCUCGCGGAGACAGCUGCUGUCAUGCUUUGCAUCUCAUCAGGCUUUUAAGAAGGAGAGAGUGAACCAGGUGGGUGGAUGAUCAGUAGCGUGGCUUGUUGGCACGGUACUUGCAUCAUUUGGUACCGAAGGAACGGGCCGUGUCAGCUGCAGGUCCGUGCACCAGGGGCUUUGCGGUCAGAUAGCACAGGGUCAGGCCCCAGCGGACAUCGUAUUAGCUUCACAUACUUGGGCAAGUUACUUAAAUUGUGAGUCUCAG
ensembl:lncRNA